AAAGCAGUUUGAAAACCCAGGCUCAAUGGGCUCUUGGACCAGAUAUGCUUGGUGGCCAUGGCAGAAGACUGGCUGCAGAGAGAGGUUUUUGUGCUCUUUGGGGGAUUUUCCCCAGCCCUGAGCUCAGUUUUCUGGAUUAAACCCAUUUUCUUGACAUUUCAGGGCAAACUUCUACUAAUCAAGUUUCUCCAGUUAGGAUAUCUACGGAGUCCUCACCUGAACAGAGUUCAUCUGCAGCUCUAGUAAAAAUACCCUUUGAAGCAAAAUAGUAGAGUGUUCAAAAUGCUUAAAGAAUGAUGAAGAAAUAGGGGGGGGGGGGAAAUGUUUCUAGUAGAGCUCCCUUUGUGCUUUUUCGUUUACAGUGAGCGGGACAUUUAAAUUAUUUUGUGAUUUGUUGAUUUUUAAGUUUAUUUUUUCUUUCUUUUAUAUUCUAAAGGCCCUGCAGGCAGCGAUGCCCACCAGCAGAGGGGCGGAUUGGCAGCAGCCCGGGUGCUCUUGCCGGGCAACCCCGCACAGUCAAGGGGAGGACCCAGGAGACAGAGGGCGCGGCGAAGACGCAGGGCGGAGCGGCAGGCGCUGGGUGAGGGUCCCAACGCCCGGAGGCCCCGCCGGCGGGGGAGGGGCACCCAGAGGAUCCCGAUGCCGCCCCGCCCCCGGACCCGCUCCCGCCUCCCGUUCCCCAGCCCCAGUUCCUCAGAUUCAGUCGCGCGCGGGGGUACCGGGGUAAGGCACGUCGCCCGCCAAACGGGAACCGAGCUCCCCAGUCCUUUUACUUGCAGUGUCCCCCGGCCGAUCACCAGUUCGCGCCCCGGGCAGUAACGACCCCGGGGGGAAACCGGGUCGGGUCGCGGGAGGAAAGGGUCUCGCGGAGUGCUGGCACACCACCCAGCCGCCGCCGCAGACGCCUCUCUAAUGCCAAGCUCUGAGCGGAAAUAGAUUGUCCCUGUGUCGGGCGGGGCAGAAGCGGGUUCGGAGGAGGGGACAGGAGGCAAAGUGGCCGCGCAUCUCGGACAACUUUGCUGGGAAACCCGGGUGACAGCGGACAGAGGUGGUGCAGCCGCGGCCGUUUUCCCGAGCGAGCUUAACCGGCACUGGGCGCCGGGUCUGGUACCCCAGAUGCUGCUGUGAACUGAGGAGGAAGAGGAGGAGGAGGACAGGGUGGCUGUUGACAGGAGGAGCAGAAAGGGAGGGAGCCCAGCCCCAGAGUGCUAGGGAAAGCCGCCCUCCAUGUCCUCGGCCCUAGGAGGGGCGCCCGCGCCCGGGGACGCUUCACCCCGAAUGCCCACUGGCUGUCCCAGGAGACCACCAACUCUUCCAGCGGCGCUAGCAAGAGGCAGCGAAGAGAAAAGAAGACCCGAGAGCAAGAGAGCGAGUGGAGGAAAGGAGAGACGCCGAGGAUCACGUACCUUGAGCUCCUCAAUGUCCAGAUUUAAUGACAGGUGAUCGUUGAUGGUUACCGCGGUGGAACACAGCUCAGUCGAAUCAACCACGGAGGGGGAAAAAAAAAUCCACUCUAUUUAAGAUUAUUUCUUCUUCUGCAAUAAGCUUAGAAACCAGCGAAUUGCUGCAUCCCAAGAAAAAAAGCUGCUUCCCUGGACAGCAUCAUGCGGCAAAUUUCAAGCAAAUGUGUUCAAACUGAAGAGAAGAGUAUAUGAUAAAAGCCUUCCUCCGUCAGGCUUACUCUGGUAGCUAAUUUAGCACACUGUGAGUCCCAGACAUUAGCAAUGAUCAAUUUCCCUGGCAAGAUAACCGAAUCCCCCGAAGUCCUGCAUAGACUUAAAAAAUGUCUUGCAGCUAAGAGGUAUUCUCUCAGUGGGGAAAAAGAAGAUAAUAAAGUCUGAAGGGAACGUUCUCCUUUGAAGGUUAUGCUAAAAGAGUUGAGAGAAUAGGAGGUGGAUCCUACAGAGAGAAGAGGGAGAGAGAGAAAGAGAGAGGGAGAGAGCAAUUUUCCUCCUGCUUUGCUGUUUUACUGGCCUUCACCACCAGGUGACUGACUUCACUUCUCUCUUCCCACAGCCAGCACUAAGGGGAUUUCUCUCAUCUGUCAAAAAGCAACAUUUCCUCUCCAGACAAAUACUGUCGCUGGGUCUUAAAGACUGCCCUCUGUCCGGAAUGCGCUAGGUGACAGGCAUUUUAAUUCAUUGCGAAUGUUGCCUCAUCUAGCUCCUAGGGAUCUGGGAGGAACAUGCUUGCAUCCUUCUCCUGCAUUCAAUUGGAUCUCUGCUGGUUUUGUUUUCAGGGUUAAAAAAAAAAAAGAAAGAAAGAAAAGGAACUUAAAAAAGACUUUUAAAGAUAAUGACAAAUAGGAGUAUUAAAAGAAAUUUCUUUCAGUGAUGUGAUGCUUCUUAGGAUAAUGCAGCCUUUUAUUGGAAAAUUGUUUCUUAAAUACUUGACAGGUCAGUGGGUUUAACUCAUGGAUAGUAAAUUUGGGGAAAGGACUCAUUUUCUUCAUUGAAAUGUCUCCAUGUAAAAUCUUGACUUUUGAAUUUUUUUUCAGAAAAGAAAAAACAGCCGUGUAAAUGCUUUUGUUUUUCAAAAGUAUUCUCCCCCCUUCUUUUUUUUUCCAUAGAAUUUAGAUGUGUGCAAAGUCUAAUCUCCUAGGACUUUUUUUCUAACUUCAUUUUGGACCUGUCUUGCUGGGCUCCAGCACCUUAUCUGUGGGACCACCUGCCAUUUCUUCUGCCAGGGGCUCUUUAACACAACUGGGGCAGUUUUCUCCUCCUCUCACUCUUUGUAUAUUUGACACUGUCAUGCUUUAGACUAAAAUCACCUCUUCAGACAAGAUUUUCAUCAGGUGAGUCCCUCAGAUAUACUCCUUGCCACAGUAUUUGCUUCAGUGUAUCAUUAUUUAAUAUAUGCACUUAUUAUCUGUUUGUUUAUGUGACUCCCUCAGUAGAGUAUAGCUCUUUAGGGCAUGUUCCACACCUUCUUAAUCAUCAGUAUUUCCAGAGAGCCUAGCAAAUAAUAAGCACAUCAAUGUGUUUAGUACAGGUAAACAUGUGGAAAGAAGACUUACAGCUAGUAUUCUAAUGUCUAAACCCCAGUAAUCCCUCCUUCCCUCCCCCCACCAGCAUGUAUAUCCCAAUUUUCCUGUCUUUUCUGCAGCUAAGGUUCUAGGGCUCAGCUUUAUCACAGGCACACUGAGUUCUACCCUAUUUGCUUAUCAAGGCUAUCUUCCUCUCAAACUUUGAUUUCUGCCUAUAGUAUUCAAGGUUUACAUCAAGUAUCCAAUAAUUCAUCAUUAGUGAGCAUUUAAUUCUCAAAAUAAAUUUACAUGUUCAUUUUACAUAAUUAUUUUAUAUAGCAUAUGAUAAAAAUAGUAACAUUGCAGGUUGAAAGUAGGUGAACUUGUAUUAAAAAACUCUAAAAAAGAGCUACUUUUCUAGAAAGUAUCAGCGAUUCCAUCAGAAUAAAUAUGAUUACAUAAUAUUUUCUAAAAGACAAGCCUUUUCACAUAUAAUACCUUUAUAUUCCCUAUGAACUUCUCAUUGCUAACAUUUAGAAAAAUGGUAAAACAAAAAAUUUUAUUUUGAAUGUAUUAGCAAAAUGAUACUAUUUCUCAGGUAGCUUUCAGAUUUGCAAUUGUGAAAAAGCAUCUAUAAAACAAAUGUAUCUAUAAAAGAAAAUAUUAAAGUAUUAUUCAGAAAUUGAAGAUUCCAUAAAGUUUCUUAGAAUGGCAUAAAAUUAUGAUCAGAAGAAAAUUUGAUGUUGUACUUAACUAUAAAAUUGAUUAAACUUACCAUAUAUAAAAGAUA